rnacentral:rRNA from 1 species
AGGACGAACGCUGGCGGCGUGCCUAACACAUGCAAGUCGAACGGGACCAGGGGCAACUCUGGUUCAGUGGCGGACGGGUGCGUAACACGUGAGGAACAUGACCUUCGGCGGGGGAUAGCCGGCCCAACGGCCGGGUAAUACCGCGUACGACCACAUGGGGACAUCCCUGAGUGGUGAAAGCAGCAAUGCGCCGAUGGAGUGCCUCGCGGCCUAUCAGCUAGUUGGUGAGGUAACGGCUCACCAAGGCGACGACGGGUAGCUGGUCUGAGAGGAUGGCCAGCCGCAUUGGGACUGAGACACGGUCCAGACUCCUACGGGAGGCAGCAGUGGGGAAUUUUGGAC